rnacentral:rRNA from 1 species
GAUGAACGCUAGCUACAGGCUUAACACAUGCAAGUCGAGGGGCAGCAUGAAGUCAGCUUGCUGACUUUGAUGGCGACCGGCGCACGGGUGAGUAACGCGUAUCCAACCUUCCCCUUACUCAGGAAUAGCCCGUUGAAAGACGGAUUAAUGCCUGAUGUUCUCAUGUUGCCGCAUGGCGAUAUGAGCAAAGAUUCAUCGGUACGGGAUGGGGAUGCGUAUGAUUAGCUUGUUGGCGGGGUAACGGCCCACCAAGGCGACGAUCGUUAGGGGUCUGAGAGGAAGGUCCCCCACACUGGAACUGAGACACGGUCCAGACUCCUACGGGAGGCAGCAGUGAGGAAUAUUGGGUCAAUGGUCGAGNGACUGAACCAGCCAAGUAGCGUGAAGGAUG